AACGAACGCUGGCGGCGUGCCUAACACAUGCAAGUCGUGCGAGAAAGUUCCUUCGGGAGCGAGUAAAGCGGCGCACGGGUGAGUAACACGUAGGUAACCUGCCCCCAGUCUGGAACAACUAGAGGAAACUCUAGCUAAUGCCGGAUGAGACCACGAUCCCUUUGGGGGUUGCGGCCAAAGAUGGCCUCUACUUGUAAGCUAUCGCUGAGGGAUGGGCCUGCGGGCCAUUAGCUUGUUGGUGAGGUAACGGCUCACCAAGGCUGUGAUGGCUAGCUGGUCUGAGAGGAUGACCAGCCACACUGGGACUGAGACACGGCCCAGACUCCUACGGGAGGCAGCAGUGGGGAAUAUUGCGCAAUGGGCGAAAGCCUGACGCAGCGACGCCGCGUGGGUGAUGAAGGCCUCGGUCGUAAG
rnacentral:rRNA from 1 species